AUUUGAUUGCUUGUGGGCUGAUGUUGAUCUGCUGGCUUGCUUGCCUAGCCGUUUGCCUAUUUGAUUGCCUGUGGGAUGAUGUUGAUCUACUGGCUUGCUUUCUUCCUACUAGGUUGGUGAUUGAUGUUACUGGUAUUUAACUUGAGGGAUGUAUAAUUCAGGGUGGAUUCUGGUUUGGGUGAUCUGCUUAUGGCCAUUGGUACAUCUGCAGGUAAACUGGCUAAAUCAGGUUGGUUGAGCACAACGAAUAUCUUUUCCAUGACACAUCUUUGUUUCCCUAGACUAACGCAUACUAUCCCAUGUUUAAUUCUUGUGAAGCUAAAGUAGCUGUUUUUGUUUGUUCCUAGGUCUACUUGAUCAGAUUUUGGUAGUUGCUUCAUAUAAAUGCAUAUGUUAGGGAAUAAGUAAAAGUAUUUUGUAUUUAAAACAGAAACAAUGUUUUUUCUCCAUUAUAUCCACUAGAGGUUUAUGAUUUGGAGGGUUAAUCUAUUGGGAUGACAGUAGAUAUUUUCAAUGAUAAAUCUUUAGGUUAUACUUUAAAUAUCAAAGACUUCAUCAAUUUGUAAAUGAUCAAUAGAUUCCGCUAUGACACCGCUAGGCAGCACGACGACGGAGGCCUGAAGUUGUAUGACCAGCAACAACAUCCGUCGGCAGCAUCUGCUGGCACGAUGAAGGAAGUAGGCAAUAUUUUAUUGUAACUCGGUUAGUUCGUUAUAGUUGUAACCUAUGGAUUUGGUUUUACCUUUGCAAUCUCUUAUAUUCCUUCUACAGGUAAUUCUGAAUUUGAUUUUAGUUACUUAAGGGGAAAAUGUGCAUUACCUAUAGAUUGUAUCAAAACAGCAGACUGGAGCAUAUGUAGAAAAAAGAACAAUUUCUAACCAAGCGAGUUUGUUUAUUUUUGGGGCAUUCAAUUGAUGCAUAUCAUUAGUUGAUGAAAGAUGCAUGUUAUUUUAUAUGUUUAGAAUUAUUUAUUAAGAUGGCCACCUACCAUUUUUCAUUUACUUUUUCACAUCUUAUAUCCAUUAAGGAGCUAGAUCCAAUUUCUGCUAUGGACAUCUUCUAUGCCAGACAUGGUUAGUGCAUAUUUUGUCAUCCCAUUGUUCUCUUCCUAUAUGUGACAGGUUUAGUACUUGGUUUUCUUUGCAGCUGUUCAACAAUGGAUUUCGAUCCUGUGGAUGGAUGUAACAAAUAAAUUUUUCAAUAUCAGCUGCACCAAGAUAUAGGUGUUGUACCCAACUUAGUUUCUUUAGGUGAUUUAUCAAUUAUACAUCACACUGUCUGCUGAUGCAUAUUUGGAGUUUUUUGAAAUUUUUUGAAAUUGAAGAAAAAUAGGGAUACAAUUAGCAUGCAUCUUUUAUGAUUUUUUUCUUAUUCCAUAUACAGUUGGUUACAGUUUCUUGAAAGUAAAGUGAGCUAAAUAUAUGUUGGUACUAGCAAAAUCUAACUAGCACUGCUAUUAUCGCCUUUAUUUUAGGUGACUUGCCUACUGCACAUCACAAUUUCUGGUGACGCAUAUCUGAAGUUUGUUGCAGUUUCUAGAAGUGAAGUAAAAUAUGGACGUAGGCAAUAUGCCGGCGUAUAGUUUUUCUAAGCUGGUGUACUCAACCUGCCCAUACCUAAAAAGCAUGAAAUAUUUGGUAUGAAGUAGGCAAAAAGAAACCCCAUUAUUAUGUUAUGCUCUUCCACUUGUUAGAUUAUCUUAGCUCCAUAUAUGUUUCCUAAAUUGCAAUGAUAGACACAACUCUAUUAGGCUAAUACUGAAACAUCACAUUAUGUUCAUGAAGUACUGUUCGGACCCACUAUUGAAAUAUAUUCUUCAGCGGUGGUUUUGCAUCCUUGGCCAGUACUUAUUAUUCAUCAUACAUGCACACAGAUGUUUUAAGCUUUUGAAAUGAUAUUGAUUUUUUUCUACACCUUACCAAACACUAUCCUUUUAUAUUAUCAGAUUAUAGGUAUAUGUAUUUUGGAUAAUCAGCUUACUAACGUUGUUUUUUGCUCUUCUUUUUUCUACAGAAUUCACUCUCUACUGAUGACAUUGAGUUUCCAGCUCAUUUGAUCUGUUGUUGGAGUUUCUCAUGGCAAUAGGCCUAGGAUAGUUGCCUCUGGAAUACUAGUUCAGCCAGUAGUUUGUAUUGGGACCUUUUGAGAUCUUGUGUUCUGUCUGUAUGGAUGCUAUGGAGCUGUUUCAAUUGCAAUGCUUCAGUUUUAGCACAUCGGUUAUCUUAGCAAGAUGGCAUUAAUUACUGGAUAUGCAAAACCAUGAAACUCCGGUGCCAAAAAGUAGAUAGGUACAACUGAUUGCAGGAGCAGGAUAUUUUAAGUAGCAAACUUCAAGUAUCUGCAGAUGACUGUUACUGCUUAGACUACCUACAAGAACUACUGCACUUCAAGAAUAAAUUAGCAGUUGAUAUAUUCCAUGUUUAGUGAUCCCUCUUCUGUAAUUUAGUGUCCAUUUCUAUGAUUGUUACAUAACCAGUAUCUAUUGGAGAACAACUUCCACUUCUUUUGUUUCAAUAUUAUCUCUUACUA